GGACCGGAGUGGACGAACCUCUGGUGUUCGGGUUGUGUCGCCAGACGCAUUGCCCGGUAGCUAAGUUCGGAAUUGAUAAGCGCUGAAAGCAUCUAAGCGCGAAGCGAGCCCUGAGAUGAGUCUUCCCUGACAGUUUAACUGUCCUAAAGGGUUGUUCGAGACUAGAACGUUGAUAGGCAGGGUGUGUAAGCGUUGUGAGGCGUUGAGCUAACCUGUACUAAUUGCCCGUGAGGCUUAACCAU
rnacentral:rRNA from 1 species